rnacentral:lncRNA from 1 species
AGAAACAGGCAGCCUGACUAGAGAACAAACUACCAAUUAACGAGCGAGGAAACAGGGCCAGAGAAUUGGAACAAAAUACAAGGCUGCCUCUGAAAGGAAUAUCUUUGUGCUGAUGUGUCCAUCAAGAGAACAUACACAGAAGUGACACUUGCCAGUAAUUUGCAAGCAGAUGGAACUUCAAUAUGGCAAUAGAGAAAGAAUCAAUUAGACCAGAGUCUCCUCAGGAAGACUUUCUAUAGGUGGACGGUCCCCUGGAGAGCCCGCUGUGUUGGAAGAUGUAGAAUAUUCAUAUAUCUGGUGAGCAUCUGCUAGAUGCCAGGGUUGGGGAGAGUCAAGUUGAAGCAAGCAUGAACCCUCAAGGACCUACCAUUUCAAGGCAAGAAAUAGAUACAAAUACAGAAAAUAUUUACUGGAUAGCUACUAGACAUAAGGAUGCAGAAAUGAAUUAGAAAAAUUCCUCGCCCUUGUUCAAAGCUAUGCUGGCUCUUAGAACAUCUGAGCCCCCACUGUUUCAUCUUUAGAGGAUCCCAGCUGCUGGGGUGUGAGGCCAGUGCUGGAGCCAGCAGUCUCUGACCCAGAAGGGACCUGAGGUGCUAAAGAAAAGGGUACAAGCUGGAAAAGGGGAAAAUGAAUCAUGCUACAGGCCAAGUGUCCAUCACUGAUUCCCAGAGAUGCCCUUUGUGUGGUAGGCACUUCCAUGUGGACUCGCUACAGAGGUCAUAAGACCCUAAUUCCAGAGGGCCCUACCCUAUAACCAGAAGGAAGAACUAUUGCACAGAGAAUCUAAGAAGAAUCUAGACAGACAGCCCUUGCUGGAUUUCUCCACUCUGUUAGCAUUCGAUCAUUUGCCUUUUGUCCAGUCAUAUUUCUGCAUGGCUGUCCAUACUUUGUUGAACCUAAGCACAAAAUGGAAAGUUUUCCCUGUAUCUUUGGGUCGUCAUUCUGAAGGCUCCCAUGUUAUGUAAAACUAUGAUCAAAUAAAUAUGCAUGCCUUUUCUCCUAUAA